rnacentral:rRNA from 1 species
UAGGGAAUCUUCGGCAAUGGGGGGCAACCCUGACCGAGCAACGCCGCGUGAGUGAAGAAGGUUUUCGGANCGUAAAGCUCUGUUGUAAGAGAAGAACGUGUGUGAGAGUGGAAAGUUCACACAGUGACGGUAACUUACCAGAAAGGGACGGCUAACUACGUGCCUG